CAGGGGGAUAACCCGGAGAAAUCCGGCCUAAUACCGCGUAACACCUUUUGGGAGCAUUCCCGGGAGGUUAAAGGAGAGAUCCGGCAUCGGAUGGACAUGCGUCGCAUUAGGUAGACGGCGGGGUAACGGCCCACCGUGCCGACGAUGCGUAGGGGUUCUGAGAGGAAGGCCCCCCACACUGGUACUGAGACACGGACCAGACUCCUACGGGAGGCAGCAGUGAGGAAUAUUGGUCAAUGGCCGAGAGGCUGAACCAGCCAAGUCGCGUGAGGGAAGAAUGUCCUAAGGAUUGUAAACCUCUUUUGUCGGGGAGCAAAAAGGCUCUGCGGAGUCGUAUUGAGAGUACCCGAAGAAAAAGCAUCGGCUAACUCCGUGCCAGCAGCCGCGGUAAUACGGAGGAUGCGAGCGUUAUCCGGAUUUAUUGGGUUUAAAGGGUGCGCAGGCGGCGUGUCAAGCAAGCGGUAAAAUAGCGGGGCUCAACCCCGUCGAGCCGUUUGAACUGGCGCGCUUGAGUUCAGGCGAGGUAGGCGGAAUUCGUGGUGUAGCGGUGAAAUGCAUAGAUAUCACGAAGAACUCCGAUUGCGAAGGCAGCUUACCAGUCUGCGACUGACGCUCAGGCACGAAAGUGUGGGUAUCGAACAGGAUUAGAUACCCUGGUAGUCCACACAGUAAACGAUGAGCGCUAGGUGUCCGGGUCGCAUGAGACUGGGUGCCCGAG
rnacentral:rRNA from 1 species